rnacentral:rRNA from 1 species
UACGUAGGGGGCUAGCGUUGUCCGGAAUCAUUGGGCGUAAAGCGCGUGUAGGCGGUCCGGUAAGUCGGCUGUGAAAGUCCAGGGCUCAACCCUGGGAUGCCGGUCGAUACUGCCGGACUAGAGUUCGGAAGAGGCGAGUGGAAUUCCCGGUGUAGCGGUGAAAUGCGUAGAGAUCAGGAAGAACACCGGUGGCGAAAGCGCUCUGCUGGACCUUAACUGACACUGAGGGACGAAAGCUAGGGGAGCGAAUGGG